rnacentral:rRNA from 1 species
UUUAAUUAUGAGAUCCACCAAGCUUAUAUUA